rnacentral:rRNA from 1 species
AUUGAACGCUGGCGGCAUGCUUUACACAUGCAAGUCGAACGGCAGCGCGGGCUUCGGCCUGGCGGCGAGUGGCGAACGGGUGAGUAAUGCAUCGGAACGUGCCCAGUAGUGGGGGAUAGCCCGGCGAAAGCCGGAUUAAUACCGCAUACGACCUGAGGGUGAAAGCGGGGGACCGAAAGGCCUCGCGCUAUUUGAGCGGCCGAUGUCGGGUUAGCUAGUUGGUGGGGUAAAGGCUUACCUAGGCGACGAUCCGUAGCUGGACUGAGAGGACGACCAGCCACACUGGGACUGAGACACGGCCCAGACUCCUACGGGAGGCAGCAGUGGGGAAUUUUGGACAAUGGGGGCAACCCUGAUCCAGCCAUGCCGCGUGCGGGAAGAAGGCCUUCGGGUUGUAAACCGCUUUUGUUCGGGAAGAAAUCCUCUGGGCUAAUACCCCGGGGGGAUGACGGUACCGGAAGAAUAAGCACCGGCUAACUACGUG